rnacentral:misc_RNA from 1 species
AUGUUUUUCUAAAAGAUGUUUGGAAAGAAUACACUGGAUGGCCAUUGAACACCAUGGAACAGCAAUACAAGUUCAUGGUUAAACAUGUUCAGCUUUGGAGGGUUGCAUUUCACGGGACAUCCCCUCGUUGGAUACACUCUGCUUAUCUUGCUGCCAUUGCCGCCUUUUACGCCAAGGAGGUGGAGGCUGGCCUGAUGGAGUACAAG